UAAGCGGAGGAAAAGAAACUAACAAGGAUUCCCCUAGUAACUGCGAGUGAAGCGGGAAAAGCUCAAAUUUAAAAUCUGGUGGCCUCUGGUCAUCCGAGUUGUAAUUUAGAGAAGCGUCUUCCGCGCUGGACCGUGCACAAGUCUCCUGGAAUGGAGCGUCAUAGAGGGUGAGAAUCCCGUCUUUGGCACGGAUCCCGGGGCUUUUGUGAUGCGCUCUCGAAGAGUCGAGUUGUUUGGGAAUGCAGCUCAAAAUGGGUGGUGAACUCCAUCUAAAGCUAAAUAUUGGCGAGAGACCGAUAGCGAACAAGUACCGUGAGGGAAAGAUGAAAAGCACUUUGGAAAGAGAGUGAAACAGUACGUGAAAUUGUUGAAAGGGAAACGCUUGAAGUCAGUCGCGUCGUCCGAGACUCAGCCUCGCCUCGGCUUGGUGUACUUCUCGACCGACGGGUCAGCAUCAAUUUUGCCCCUUGGAUAAUGGCGUGGGAAAUGUGGCACCUUUGCGGGUGCGUUAUAGUCCCUCGUCGCAUGCAAGGGUCGGGAUUGAGGAACUCAGCACGCGCCUUUCGGCGUCGGGGCCUUUGCCCACGAUACGUGCUUAGGAUGUUGGCGUAAUGGCUUUAAACGACC
rnacentral:rRNA from 1 species